GAUUCUCACUUCGGCAUACAUAUACUAAAAUUGGAAUGAUACAGAGAAGAUUAGCAUGGCCCCUGUGCAAUGAUGACACGCAAAUUCUUGAAGCAUUUCAUAUUUUU